CAGUCGAGCGGAAGAUGGGAGCUUGCUCCCUGAUGUUAGCGGCGGACGGGUGAGUAACACGUGGGUAACCUGCCUGUAAGACUGGGAUAACUCCGGGAAACCGGGGCUAAUACCGGAUGGUUGUUUGAACCGCAUGGUUCAAACAUAAAAGGUGGCUUCGGCUACCACUUACAGAUGGACCCGCGGCGCAUUAGCUAGUUGGUGAGGUAACGGCUCACCAAGGCAACGAUGCGUAGCCGACCUGAGAGGGUGAUCGGCCACACUGGGACUGAGACACGGCCCAGACUCCUACGGGAGGCAGCAGUAGGGAAUCUUCCGCAAUGGACGAAAGUCUGACGGAGCAACGCCGCGUGAGUGAUGAAGGUUUUCGGAUCGUAAAGCUCUGUUGUUAGGGAAGAACAAGUACCGUUCGAAUAGGGCGGUACCUUGACGGUACCUAACCAGAAAGCCACGGCUAACUACGUGCCAGCAGCCGCGGUAAUACGUAGGUGGCAAGCGUUGUCCGGAAUUAUUGGGCGUAAAGGGCUCGCAGGCGGUUUCUUAAGUCUGAUGUGAAAGCCCCCGGCUCAACCGGGGAGGGUCAUUGGAAA
rnacentral:rRNA from 1 species